GACGAACCGUGCGAACGUUGUUCGGAAUCACUGGGCUUAAAGGGCGCGUAGGCGGUCCGGCGCGUCCGGGGUGAAAGCCUCCAGCUUAACUGGAGAAGUGCCCCGGAUACGGCCGGACUCGAGUGGGGUAGGGGCGUGUGGAACUUCCGGUGGAGCGGUGAAAUGCGUAGAUAUUGGGAAGAACACCAGUGGCGAAAGCGGACUUCUGGGUUGUUACUGACGCUGAGGUACGAAAGCGUGGGGAGCAAACGGG
rnacentral:rRNA from 1 species